rnacentral:rRNA from 1 species
AUACGGAGGGUGCGAGCGUUAUUCGGAAUCACUGGGCGUAAAGGGUGCGUAGGCGGUUUGAUAAGUCUGAUGUGAAAUCCUAUGGCUCAACCAUAGAACUGCAUUGGAAACUGUCAGACUAGAAUACUGAAGGGGCAGAUGGAAUUAGUGGUGUAGGGGUAAAAUCCGUAGAUAUCACUAGGAAUACCGAAAGCGAAAGCGAUCUGCUGGGAAGUUAUUGACGCUGAGGCACGAAAGCGUGGGGAGCAAACGGGAUUAGAAACCCUAGUAGUCC